UGAUCGGGAGGCUUCUGGUGGGACAGGGGCCGGGAAUGGAUCAAACCCGCUGUCUCGGAUGGUUACGGUGUCGGAGCCCGACGACAUGCGUA
rfam:Roseovarius albus strain CECT 7450 genome assembly, contig: 0003